rnacentral:rRNA from 1 species
AUGAUUUGGAUUCUGCCAGAACAUCCGAAGAAGCUCACUGCUAUGUUCAGAAACCUGACCUCUGUGUUUCUUUGGGAUAUCUUCAAUGAGUGUGAUCUGAACUGGACACUGUUUAUCCUUGAAGCUGCACCUUGCCUACAGUGUAUUGAUUUAUCUCGACAUUCAUGCAUCGAGACGCCCGACAACAGUGCCGAGAAGACCAACGUGGUGUGGGAGCCAUCCAAGGAUUUCAAGCACCUAAACUUGAAGUUGCUGGGGAUCCAAGGGUGCGAGGAUGAAGACAAGGUGACAAACUAUGUAAGGCUUGUGAUGGAACGAGCUGUGCGGCCGUUGAUAAUCAAGCUGCAGGAUGAAUUCCCAUGCAGGGACUGCAAUGCCACCAACCUUGACAGAUCCAAGGCGGACAAAGCUAGCAGGCGCCGGAUUAAGGAGCGACUCGCGCAUGGAUCAUCCUCAUGUGUGAAGAUAAUUAUCUGA